rnacentral:rRNA from 1 species
UACGUAGGUGGCAAGCGUUGUCCGGAUUUACUGGGCGUAAAGAGCGCGCAGGCGGUCGUUCAAGUCGCGUGUGAAAGCCCCCGGCUCAACUGGGGAGGGUCACGCGAUACUGAUCGACUCGAAGGCAGGAGAGGGAAGUGGAAUUCCCGGUGUAGUGGUGAAAUGCGUAGAUAUCGGGAGGAACACCAGUGGCGAAGGCGGCCGUCUGGACACAUAUUGACGCUGAGGCUCGAAAGCAUGGGGAGCAAACAGG